AUACAUGCAAGUCGAGCGGAGUUGCUUGCUUCGGGGUAAGCUUAGCGGCGGACGGGUGAGUAACACGUAGGCAACCUACCCUCUAGACUGGGAUAACUACCGGAAACGGUAGCUAAUACCGGAUAAUUCCUUGACCCACCUGGGUUUGGGAUGAAAGGCGGAGCAAUCUGCUGCUAGAGGAUGGGCCUGCGGCGCAUUAGCUAGUUGGUGGGGUAACGGCCUACCAAGGCGACGAUGCGUAGCCGACCUGAGAGGGUGAACGGCCACACUGGGACUGAGACACGGCCCAAACUACUACGGGAGGCAGCAGUAGGGAAUCUUCCGCAAUGGGCGAAAGCCUGACGGAGCAACGCCGCGUGAGUGAUGAAGGUUUUCGGAUCGUAAAGCUCUGUUGCCAGGGAAGAACGUCCGGUAGAGUAACUGCUACCGGAGUGACGGUACCUGAGAAGAAAGCCCCGGCUAACUACGUGCCAGCAGCCGCGGUAAUACGUAGGGGGCAAGCGUUGUCCGGAAUUAUUGGGCGUAAAGCGCGCGCAGGCGGCUGCUUAAGUCUGGUGUUUAAACCUUGGGCUCAACCUGGGGUCGCACUGGAAACUGGGCAGCUUGAGUACAGAAGAGGAAAGUGGAAUUCCACGUGUAGCGGUGAAAUGCGUAGAGAUGUGGAGGAACACCAGUGGCGAAGGCGACUUUCUGGGCUGUAACUGACGCUGAGGCGCGAAAGCGUGGGGAGCAAACAGGAUUAGAUACCCUGGUAGUCCACGCCGUAAACGAUGAGUGCUAGGUGUUAGGGGUUUCGAUACCCUUGGUGCCGAAGUUAACACAGUAAGCACUCCGCCUGGGGAGUACGGUCGCAAGACUGAAACUCAAAGGAAUGGACGGGGACCCGCACAAGCAGUGGAGUAUGUGGUUUAAUUCGAAGCA
rnacentral:rRNA from 1 species